CAGCAGCCACGGUAAUGCGGAGGGGGCUAGCGUUGUUCGGAAUUACUGGGCGUAAAGCGCACGUAGGCGGCUUGGUAAGUUAGAGGUGAAAGCCCGGAGCUCAACCCCGGAAUUGCCUUUAAGACUGCCGAGCUAGUAGGUGAGAGAGGUAAGUGGAAUUCCGAGUGUAGAGGUGAAAUUCGUAGAUAUUCGGAAGAACACCAGUGGCGAAGGCGGCUUACUGGCUCAUUCUAGACGCUGAGGUGCGAAAGCGUGGGGAGCAAACAGGAUUAGAUACCCCCGUAGUCCCUGUCUCUUAUAC
rnacentral:rRNA from 1 species